AUUCCUGUGCACCUGAGGCCUUCAGAAGCUCUCUGAAGGCACAGUCCUCACUGUAACUAUCUGCCUUGGGUGCUACAACUCAGCAAGAAAGGAAACUGAAGCUCUUUCUGCUCACAUUGCACCUGUUUCUACACAGCAGUUUGCAAGGGCUGCUGCUGGACUCAUGCUGAUGUAUCCACAACACAAAAUAGAGCCAUCAAGAGGAUUUCUGCGCUGGCUCUGGAUCUUUCUACCCUGAUGCAGACCACUGAAGCAGUGUAGAGCAAUGUAUGGAGCUGUUCCCAAGCCUGGCAGUCAUGGCAGACUUAGAUAUGGAAGUUCAUGCUAAAAGCCUACUGUUCAGAAAAUAUUUUCACUUUUACUCUGGGAUUUGCCCAGGAGUGGCUCUGGUGUCUGAAAGCUUGAUAGUAUUUGUGAAUGAGCUGGUCCCAGUCCAAUCCUUAAUAGCCAUCUGUAUUUCUCUGCAUCAGACUGUGAUCUAGCUCAGUCUGAUUAACAUAGCCCUGGAGAGAGCCACCGGCUAACAAUCACAGUGAGAAACCUUAUCCUCCAGCU